UCCCGCUCGUUUUCCGGGUCGGGACCGACCAUGAAGAACUGUGAUUAUCAGCAGAUCGACCCAAAGGUGGUUCCGACGUACGCCUCCCCGUCUCACAUCGGGACGCGGGGGCCCAGAAGAGUGCGGAGGAAAUGGGAGGUUUUCCCGGGAAAGAACCGCUUCUACUGCGGCGGGAGGAUCAUGAUGGCGCAGCAGAGCGGAGUCCUGCCGCUCACUCUGGGCCUCAUCCUGGUCACCACGGGCUUGUUCUUCAUCUUUGACUGUCCCUUCCUCGUCAAACACCUGAGCAGUUGCGUUCCUGUCAUUGGAGCUGUGCUCUUCGUCUUCGUCUUCAUCACGCUGCUCCAGACCAGCUUCAGCGACCCGGGCAUCCUCCCCAGAGCCACGCUGGAGGAAGCUGCUAACGUGGAGAGGCAGAUCGACAGCUCUGGAAAUUCCAGCUAUCGCCCCCCCCCGCGCACAAAGGAGGUCCUCAUCAACCAGCAGAUGGUGAAGCUCAAGUACUGCUUCACCUGUAAGAUGUUCCGACCUCCACGCACCUCCCACUGCAGCCUGUGUGACAACUGUGUGGAGAGGUUUGACCACCACUGCCCCUGGGUGGGGAACUGUGUGGGGAAACGGAACUACCGCUUCUUCUACACCUUCAUUGUGUCGCUCUCCUUCCUCACCUCGUUCAUCUUCGGCUGCGUCAGCACCCACCUGGCAAUGAGGGCUCAGGGCGGCAGAGGUCUGGUGUUUGCUCUGCAGGAGAGUCCUGGCAGUGCAGUUGAACUGGUGAUUUGCUUUUUCUCAGUCUGGUCCAUCUUGGGUCUCUCGGGCUUCCAUACUUACCUGGUUGCGUCCAAUAUGACCACUAAUGAAGAUAUUAAAGGCUCCUGGUCCGGGAAGAGUGGAGAUGUGGCCACAAACCCGUUCAGCCACAGAAACGUCUUUGUAAACUGCUGCUCUGUGCUCUGUGCCCCUUUGCCGCCCAGCCUCAUCGACAGGCGAGGUAUCCUGCCAGUGGAGGAAGAGUCUGCGCAGAUGUGCCACGCAGACAUCCAACUUCCCGCCAACAAGAACCAAAGAAACAUGUGCUCACAGGGAACGAAAGGUCUGCUGGAGUCUGCAGCUCUGUCUCCACUCCUGUCCACCUCCUGUCCUCAGGGGAAGGCCCAGGCCGCCCUGCUGGGCCCGGAACGCCACUCUGCAGCAGACUCUGAGCCCUCGCUGCAGUUCUCCAAAGGCUGCAGGGCCCAACACAGCGCUGGCUCCCAGGGAAACACCUCCUCUACACGUCACACCCAUCACAAAAGUCACUCGAAGAAGCACAAACAAGCCGCUUUGAAUAUUUCCAACCCCACCUGUCCGGACUCUGCCCCCAGCUCAAAAGACGGGGGCCAUAGAAGGGCCACCUUUACUCAGCCCUUAGAAACAAGUCUUUGUGAUGGAAGAUGAUCAGAGAGUGUGACAAUCAAACAGCAGCUUAGUCAGAUCUGAGAGGAUCAAGGGUAAAAGGAGGCAAAAACAGGAAGAUUUGAAGAUUCACCACUUGGAUCAACAGGAAGAGUUUGGAUUCACAAGGCACGAAAUGAGAGGACAAACUGACCCCCACACAGUGGUGUGAGGCUCUUCAGAAACGACAUUUUUUUUGUGUAAAGUUUGAGGAAAUUCAUACAUAAUUUAAGGAUGUUCAUGAAAGAUUAUAUAACUCUUAACAAAGACAAUUUCCUUCAUUUGUAUGUUUUCACUCCUCUGAGCCUCAAAUCCACCUUUUAUCUCCAAGUUCAUCAAGUCUCAGUAUUCAGAAAUAAUCAUGACAUAAUAUUUUUAUGUGACCGUUUAUCACAGAGAGUUAUUGAUCUGGAGGAUUUUGUGUUCUAUCCCUGUCUGGCCAUCAAUCAGCUGAUUUCUGUGCUUUAGAAAAUGAACGCAGCUGCAUGGAAACAACCAAAACAAGUCUUUCCUCCUGAGUGUUAUUUUCUUCACUCGUAUUCUUGUUGUAAAUGUGAGACAGACAGAAUUUUUCUGGCGUUUCUUACCUUUCUUUCAUGUCCUUCAAAGAUGUAAACUUUGAAGUUUUAAUGAAGGAUGCUCUGCACUCUCAGGUGGAAACUCCCACCAUCCAAAAACAUACUUCAUAGGUUAAUUGAUGACUAUGUGUGAAUGUAAGUGUCCAUGUGUGUGUGGACUGGCAACCUGUCCAAGGUGUACUCCGCCUUCGCCAAGCAGUGGCCAGGUUAGGCUCCAGCAAAUCCCAUAUGGGAUAAAAAGUGAUUAAAAAAAUGAAUGGUUGGAUGGAUAGAAACCAACCACAGGGUGGCAGCAAUCACUACUUAAAGGUGUUGUUGUUUGGUAGAGAUAAAAGGGAAGGGGUAGAUUGGGAUGCGCAGGUGAACAAACAUUGGUUUAACUGUCUCAUUUAAAGCCGAUCAUUUUUCUGACUUGUUUCAUGGAGACACUUUUGAGGAAACUAAUGGAUGAUCAUUUCACAUUCACAGGAUGUACAUGGACUUUUCAAAAUAAGCGUUAUUAAACAUAUUCAGUUGUGAGCCAUGGCAUCAAAAGCACAACAAAUAAAAAGUAUGAACAGAGGGAUCAAAGGAAGAAAGCAACAUAUGAAAACAAGAUUACAGAUAAUAUGUUUUACAAACUUUAAUCUUUGGGGGGGAACUGAAAGCAAAACCAUUGAUUCAGUUCAGAUUUCUAAAAGAGAUACCAAGUUUUUAAAGCCAUUCAUUUCUCUGAGUAUUAAUUGAUUCAGUGAUUUUUCCGCAUGAAAAUGCAUGAUAAAGGUUUGGUACGGGUAUAUGUUAAUAUUUGGUCCAGAAUAAUUUAAUUAACUGUUUAGUGUGAAAGGGGUGAAUAAGAAAUAUUCAAUCCCAAAGCUGGUUGAAAUUAUUAGUUAAAUUAAACUGGAAAUUAAAUACAAUUAUCCUCGGGGCACCACCUUCAUAAUGAAGGAAAACAUUACUAAUUAAUCAUCAGUUGUUACUUCUAAUUAAUAAAGUAAUAAUUAAAUUAUCAGUGUCUCAACCUUAAGUUGUAAGUACCUUUUGAAGUGACUUUUCCUUGAACUAAAAUACUAAUGAAAUACAAACAACGACGUCCUUUUGAAUAUUUAUUGAAUAACAUGAGGUUAAACAAGCAGAAAUACGGGAUGGAAAAUUAAGGUAUUGAAAAACAAUCAGCAUAUGUGAAAUAUAAAAGAGAGCCUUCAACUAAUAACUAGAAAUAGCUAAAUAAAAAUAAAGAAAGAUAAAAUAUUGAAGUAAGGAAUACUAAGCGUGUGAGUGCAUUAAUGCAUGUAGGAUUUAGACCAGGCAUGUCAAACAUACGGCCCGCGGGCCGGACCCGGCCCAUUGGAUGAUUUAAUCCGGCCCGUCAUAAAUUUCUGAGUAUGUCAAAAAAAGAAGCGAGUCACUAGCUCAUUUCUAUCAAAAGUUAUGAUUUUUUAAAAAUAAAUACAAACCAAAUGCUCCCUCCGGCCACUAGAGGGCAGUAAAUGUGUUAAAGAGCUCACGUCCAGCAUGCGGCACUGACACGAGUUAGUACCAGGAAAUAAACAUUCGCAACGUGAUGUGUCCAACUAGAAAUAAACCGGCAAGCUUGCUUCACCAUUCACCACUACUACUACAACAACAUAACAGAUUUGCUGCGAGAGUUUGAGCGGAGGUUUCAGGUUUUCAGUGAACUUGAGAACAAAUUCGGCUUUUUUCGCUUGGUAUUUACAGUGAAGCCUUCUGAUGUGCCAGCUGACAUUCAGCUCGAGCUUAUUGACUUGCAGUGCGAUUCCGCUAUGAAGGAUAAAUUUGGGUCCGUGGGAUUGGAUACGUUUUAUCAGUUUCUUGUGCCAGGUUACCCCAAAUUAACAGCUGUGGCUGCAAAGGUUCUCUCCAUGUUUGGGACUACUUAUCUUUGUGAACAGGUGUUCUCUGUGAUGAACAAUAAUAAAACAAAGCAGCGCUCAAGGUUAACAAAUGAACACUUGAAUGACAUUGUUAAAUGUGCUGCUACUCAGGAUUUGACACCUGAUAUCGACGCACUUGUAAAGGCAAAAAGAUGCCAAGUUUCAGGAGCCAGCAGCAGCAAGUAGGAGUGCAGUGAGAGAGAGAAAAAAGUGUGAUGACAUGACAUUUGUUUGCACUCAUAAAUACAGAUCAUUAAAAAUAAGAUUAAUCUUGUUUCAUAUUAAAGACAAUUAAUAUUUUGCAGUAUAUUCUCAGCUUCAGUAGGCCCAGCCUAGUAGUUUAAGCUGAUGUAGUCUAAUCUUAUUGCCCAUGCACAGCUAAAACUUUUAUUUUGUAUUUUUAUUUAUUAUUAUAUAUUUUUAUUUAUUAUUAUUUCAAAGCAGUAUGAUAAUUAAGGCAAAACAUUUUUUUUCAUAGCUCCCACUUGAGUUUGUUUAGUGUGGUGAGUUGGUUCAGGUGUAAAACUGCAUUCACUCAACUGUUAAAAUAAACCAGUUGUUAACACAUUCAAUGCCAAACAUGAAAAUCAUUUUUUUCUCCAUUGUUUGUGAAUAAAUGUGUUGUGCUUAGAAAAGA